rnacentral:lncRNA from 1 species
GGAGCAUCCCCUGGUCCUGCCCGUGUCCACACCAGGAUCCCUGGCAGCACUGGCCCUGCCUCCAGGUCUUGACCUCCAGGAAGUGGCUGUGGUCACGGCCGCUGUGGGGCAUGUCUGACGCCGCUGUCCGGCUCCUGGUCCCAUCUGGACAGUGCCAGUCUUGCUGGUCUGUUCCUGGAGGGUCUUCCUGUCCAGAGGAGCCUCCCUGCCUCCAGCCCUCAGGCAGGAGUCAGUGCCCACCCCCCUCCUCCUGGAGCAGCCAGACACUGAGGCCCACUCACACCCACCAGGCCCUUUCAUUUCUUGGCUCCUCUCUGGCCUCAGGACCUGGGAGCCAGGCAAAUGGUGCCCAUGGUCACCCUUUCAGCUGAGCCACACGCCCGGGUGCCCCAGGGACAGAGCAGGGCGUGCCACAGGCACUGGCCAGAUCCAGAUCGGAGCAGGGCCCGCCCACACCCACCGGGCCCUUUCAUUUCUUGGCUCCUCUCCUGCCACAGGGCCUGUGAGCCAGACAGAUGGAGAAGUUGCCUCUGCAAGUCUGACGUGGGCAUUCCCCAAACCUGAGAGGAAGUGGCUUGCUCUGGCCCAUGCAGGCUGGUGCCCAGGCGGGGGCCCCCGCACCUCUUGUCCUGGAUCCCUGUGCUUUUAGGGCCCUGCAAGAGGCCUGGAGGCCUCAAGCAAGCAGCUUUUGGGGGCUCCCAUGGUGAGGUCUGCCACCAAGGUCAGUCUGUGUUCUGGGAAGCAAGAGCCUCAGCCCACACUUACGCCCUCAGCCAUGGCCUUCUGACCUUCCUCUCACCCUCCCUUGUUUACCCCACUCAGUGACAUGCGGCUGCCUGACACCCAGAUGUGUGUCUGGGUGGGUGGGGCAUAGGUGCCAGGAACGCAGCUGGGAGCAGGACAGCCAGUUCCCCACCCACCUUGCUCUGCCACAGAGGCAUGGGAGGGUCAGGUCCUGGCCGUGUCACUCACCGGGGCACCAGGAAGGGCCCUCGGCCUCCACUGUCGUGGCAUGAUGAGGGUGGUUGCAGGACGGCCUGGGGGAGCCAGCACUGGGGGCUGUCAGCCCCACACAGGUCCAGGGCUGAAUGGUGGUCCCCAAAGAAAUAGGAUCCAGUCGUAGCCGCUGGUCCAUUAGAAUGCGGCUUGGGAAUAGGGUCAUCGCCGACGUAAUUGGCUGGGUGGUCCUGCUCCAACGUGAUGGCGUCCUAAGAAGGGCAGCACAUGGAGACAGACACACAGGAGAAGCCGCAUGAUGGUGGAUAUAGGGGCGGGAGGGGGCGAUGUGGCUGCAGCCAAGGGUGCCGAGGCUGGAAGGGUUAGGUGCCUGUGGUCCCAGCUACCUGAGGCCAAGGUGGGAAGGAUUCUCCCAUAGGGCUUUUGGAGGGGCCAUGGCCCGGCCGACAUCCUCAGCUUUCCUGAACUGGGAAAGAAGAAAGGACCAGUUUGGGGUUCUUUGUUUUGGCGGCCCAGGCCCUGGCUCACACCCUGUCUGCCUUCCACCUGUGAGUCCUGCUGGGUGCUGGAGGCCAGGAGUGAAGGGAAUGUGGUCUCCCUCAGCCAACUCCCGGCCACCCGCACUGAGGGUGCCCAGGUGGAGCCCAGCUGGGGAGCUGGGCAGGGAAGGAGGGGGAGGGGUUCUGCAGUGUGGGGGGGGAUUCAGUAGGUGUAGCCUCGGGCCUGAGCUGACGGCGGGCGCUCUGGGACCGUGGAGCUCAACCCAACGGAACGGCCCUCGAAUCAGAGCACAGGCUGUGAGGGCCAGACCGGCCUGCCCCACAGCUUCAGGAACCAGGCAGUGCCCGUGGCACACCCUGCUCUGUCCCUGGGGCACCCGGGCAUGUGGCUCAGCUGAAGGGGUGACCAUGGGUGCCAUGCUGCUGACUUGGGCCAGCACACGAUUCCAGGUCCAGAUACCCAUGACGUGACAAAUGACCUGCUAGGGCCGCAUAACUCAACACCACAGCCUGGGCGGCUUAAACGACAUUUAUUUUCUCACUUCCGGAGUCUGGAUGUCAGGGAUCAGGCUGCCGGCAGGGUGGGUUCCUCCUGAGGCCUCUCCAUGGCUUGCAGACGGCACCCUCUCCCUGCGUCCUCAUGUGGCCUCUCCUCUGUGUGCUCACUCCUGGUGUCUCUUCCUCUUCUUUUAAGGACAACAGUUCAGGGUCCCACCCUUAGGACUCACGUAACUUUAAUUACCUUCUUAGAGGCCCUAUCCAUAACACAUAGGUUUAGAGGGUUUUUUUUGGAGACAGGGUCUUGCUCUGUCACCCAGGCUGGAGUGCAGUGGCGCGAUCAUAGUUCACUGUGGCCUCGAAGUGCUGUGUUCAAGUGAUCUUCCCACCUUGGCCUCAGGUAGCUGGGACCACAGGCAUGUGCCAUCACACCCGGUUAAUUUAAAAAAAUUUUUUUUGGCCAGGCAUGAUGACUCACACCUGUAAUCACAGCACUUUGGGAGGCCGAGGCAGGCAGAUCACUUGAGGUCAGGAGUUUGAGACCAGCCUGGCCAACAUGGCAAAACCCCAUCUCUACUAAAAAUACAAAAUUAGCUGGGCAUGGUGGCAAGUGCCUGUAAUCCCAGUUACUCAGGAAGCUGAGGCAGGAGAAUCGCUUGAACCUGGGAGGCGGAGGCUGCAGUGAGCUGAGAUCACGCCGCUGAACUACAGCCUGGGCAACAGAGCGAGACCCUGUCUCCCGAGCUCAAAGGAUCCUCCCUUUGGCCUCCCAAGGUGCUGGGUUCACAGGUGUGAGCACUGUGCCCGGCCCACACAUGGGUUCCCAUAGAUCCCACUUUACAGGCAGGGACACUGAGGCAUGCAGAGCCGGGAUACAGACCAAGCAAGUCCUGGCUCCUCUUCUGGGUGUCCCAGCCCGUCUCGGACACCCACGCUUACCCAGGCCUGGUGGCUGCAUCGUGGACAUGGGGGCAAGGCAGCUCUCUGGGUGGGCAGAGGCAGGAGCUGAGGCAAGGAUGUGGGCAUCCUUUUGGGUACAUCUAGUCCUAGAGCUGAUCCAGGGGCCAGUCAAAUGUGCAGCCAAAGUCGGGUCAAC